ensembl:lncRNA
AAAUACCUGAAAAUGUUUCUCUGGUAGUUACAUGAGAUCAUAAAUUCUUCAAGAGGUAAGUUGAGAUAUAAGCAGCACCCUAUAUUGAAAAUUUUAUCUGUAAAUUUGCUGACUGCAAACUCCUUGAGGGCAGAUACUCCACCUCCUUCCCUGAUGUUUUGCUGCGCCAAUGUUAGUUUUGAACACAUUUGAUCCUUUAGAGGGCUUUUCCCUCAGGGAUACAAGUAUGAUGACAGGAGAAGAGAGGCCGCAACCACAGGUCUGCUUUCUGCAGGCCCGCUCUCUGAAUGUGAAAGUGCCAUCUCCUCUUGUCAGGAGUCUCCUCUAAAUGCAACUUCAUCAAGAACGGGCUGUCGUUUAAGCUAGCAUCAACUAACACAUUAGGAUAAGAGCCCUCUGAUGUGGACUAAUAACCAGUAAGGGCAGGAGUGGGUGGCACAGAGGCUAGGGGCCCAUUGCAGGGGGUGGGCAAAGGAGAUCAGAAAGGAACAGAGAGUGUGAGGGUACAAAAAUGAACCUGUUAUCUUUCAGUUCCCCAUGAGCUACUCUUAUCUAUUUUAUUCUGCAAAAUUUUCACAUCCAAAUGUACUUAGGAGGUGGAAUUCUGUGAAGAGGGUCUAAAUAAAAUGCAUCCUACUUAUUCUUCUGGAGCAUACCUUCUGAACCACAAAGCUUCCUUCCAAUUCCUUAAUCUCAACAUUUUUUUAAAGAAAUGAGUUUAAAUUCCGGCUUGAGUUUGAUUAAAAUGUGCCUUUGCUUCAGCUUUGUUACUUAUGCAGGCUUCCUGGCCAUGAAGGAGGAAAUUAAGGAAACUAUUCAAAUUAAGGAAACUAUUAUAUAACUUGGAUGUCUUCAAGCCUAACCACUCUGGAUGCUAAUGGCCAGUGUCACAUUGCAUUGAGUGGGGUGCUUGGUAUUCUGACUCAGAGAACUCUGUCCAGGAAAUGCUCAACCUUUGUGGACCAGCUGAAUGAUGGGUGUUGGUAACUGCUUUAUCCUUCCGGACAUUCUCAGCAACCAUUGCCU